CGCCAACUCAAACAAGAUUUGUGCACAAACCACUUUAAACUCCAAUGUUUACAAGGUACCUGAAGUAGAUAACAAUACGUAGCAGAACAGCAAAAUCCUAUUUCAAGUCUUACAGCACCCUCCACUUAUCAAGUGGUUCUACCAAGGUAAAUUCCCGAAUACGAAAAGUUAUACAAGUUGGUCCAACUCCUAGCUGCUUCACAAGUUUAGCUCCAAGUCAAACCCGGUUCACCUACAUUGCACAAGUGUAUUUAGUAUUACAAAGAAAUGAGGGAAAACAGGUAAAUACAGGAAAAUAAAAGGAUGUGCCCAAUCUUGGGCCAUCCGGAAAUAAAUCAUGAAUGUAAGUUAACUACCUAAUUUGUGCACAAAUUUGUAUGAAUUUUUGGCAGAACUCCACCAUUAGAAAAAGUCUAUUUUGAUUGUCAAAUUCACAAACAAGAAAAAAAACCAAUCGGACAUAACCCCCACAUCAAUUUACAUACAAAAUCCAAGUGUCUAUUUAUACAAACAAAAGAGUAGAAAGAGAGGGAUG
rnacentral:lncRNA from 1 species